CAAGACAACUUUACGGAGUUGACGAUUGACGGAGCGAAGCGACGUCAAAGCGUUCAUUAAAGUCGAGUUGGCUUAGGGAUACGUUCGUUGGGUAGGGGAGCGUUCUGUAAGCCUGUGAAGGUGUGUCGUGAGGCAUGCUGGAGGUAUCAGAAGUGCGAAUGCUGACAUAAGUAACGAUAAAGCGGGUGAAAAGCCCGCUCGCCGGAAGACCAAGGGUUCCUGUCCAACGUUAAUCGGGGCAGGGUGAGUCGACCCCUAAGGCGAGGCCGAAAGGCGUAGUCGAUGGGAAACGGGUUAAUAUUCCCGUACUUGGUGUUACUGCGAAGGGGGGACGGAGAAGGCUAUGUUGGCCGGGCGACGGUUGUCCCGGUUUAAGCGUGUAGGUGUGUGUUCCAGGUAAAUCCGGUUCACUUUAACACUGAGGCGUGACGACGAGGCACUACGGUGCUGAAGCAACAAAUGCCCUGCUUCCAGGAAAAGCCUCUAAGCAUCAGGUAACAUCAAAUCGUACCCCAAACCGACACAGGUGGUCAGGUAGAGAAUACCAAGGCGCUUGAGAGAACUCGGGUGAAGGAACUAGGCAAAAUGGUGCCGUAACUUCGGGAGAAGGCACGCUGACACGUAGGUGAAGUGAUUUACUCA
rnacentral:rRNA from 1 species